AUGGACGCUGGCGGCGUGCCUCAUACAUGCAAGUCGAGCGAACAGACGAGGAGCUUGCUCCUCUGACGUUAGCGGCGGACGGGUGAGUAACACGUGGAUAACCUACCUAUAAGACUGGGAUAACUUCGGGAAACCGGAGCUAAUACCGGAUAAUAUAUUGAACCGCAUGGUUCAAUAGUGAAAGACGGUUUUGCUGUCACUUAUAGAUGGAUCCGCGCCGCAUUAGCUAGUUGGUAAGGUAACGGCUUACCAAGGCAACGAUGCGUAGCCGACCUGAGAGGGUGAUCGGCCACACUGGAACUGAGACACGGUCCAGACUCCUACGGGAGGCAGCAGUAGGGAAUCUUCCGCAAUGGGCGAAAGCCUGACGGAGCAACGCCGCGUGAGUGAUGAAGGUCUUCGGAUCGUAAAACUCUGUUAUUAGGGAAGAACAAAUGUGUAAGUAACUAUGCACGUCUUGACGGUACCUAAUCAGAAAGCCACGGCUAACUACGUG
rnacentral:rRNA from 1 species